UUUAUGGAGAGUUUGAUCCUGGCUCAGGAUGAACGCUGGCGGCGUGCCUAAUACAUGCAAGUCGAGCGAACGGACGAGAAGCUUGCUUCUCUGAUGUUAGCGGCGGACGGGUGAGUAACACGUGGAUAACC
rnacentral:rRNA from 1 species